AUACUUACCUGGCAAGGGAGACACCGUGAUCAAGAAGGCGGUUCACCAGGGCGAGGCUCAGCCAUUGCACUCCGGCUGUGCUGACCC
rnacentral:snRNA from 8 species